GCGGGAAAAAAACCCUCUCGAAAAUCACCAAUUCCCAAGCGUAUUUCCCCAUUUCAAAAGCUUCUGAAAUCCCCAAAAUUCUCCAUCACCGGCUAUGAUCAACGUCUUGAACGUCGCGGAGAAGCCGUCUGUAGCGAAAUCGGUGGCCACCAUACUCUCAAGGAACCAGCAGCAUGGGAUGAGAGUUAGGGACGGGCGGUCCCGCUACAACAAGAUCUUCGAGUUCAACUACGUGAUCAACGGGCAGCCAUGCCAUAUGCUAGUGACUUCCGUCACUGGUCAUCUCAUGGAGCUCGAGUUCGAGGAUCGCUUCCGCAAGUGGCAUUCUUGCGAUCCCACCGAUCUCUACCAUGCCCCCGUCCGUAAAUUCGUCCCUGAGGACAAGAUAGAUAUCAAAAGGACAUUGGAGGAGGAAGCAAGAAGGUGCCAGUGGCUUAUUCUGUGGCUUGAUUGUGAUAGAGAGGGAGAAAACAUUGCAUUUGAAGUGAUGGAUGUUUGUGGAGCAGCAAAUCGCCACCUUACUAUAUGGAGGGCUCGCUUUUCUGCAUUAAUUGACAGGGAAAUUCAUGAGGCAGCCCAAAAUCUUGUUUCUCCUAAUCAGUGGUUUUCUGAUGCUGUGGAUGCUAGGCAAGAAAUUGAUCUCCGCAUUGGUGCGUCUUUCACAAGGUUUCAAACCAUGCUGCUGAGAGAUAAGUUUGUUAUUGGUUCUGCUCAAGAUGACAGAAAUCUUGUUCUAAGUUAUGGGCCUUGUCAGUUCCCUACGCUUGGCUUUAUUGUCGAACGUUAUUGGGAGAUACAAUCACAUGAGCCAGAAGAGUUUUGGACUAUUAAUUGUUCUCACACAACAGAUGAAGGCAUUGCAACCUUCAGUUGGAUGCGUGGACAUCUUUUUGAUUACACUUCUGCUGUUAUACUUUAUGAAAUGUGUGUUCAGGAACCAGCUGCGACUGUAACAAAGGUUCAUCAGCAGGAGAAGCGAAAGUACCCUCCGCAUCCUCUGAGUACAAUUGAGCUUGAAAAACGUGCCUCAAGAUAUUUCAGAAUGAGUUCUGAACAGACCAUGAAAGUGGCAGAAGAUCUAUACCAAGCUGGUUUCAUUAGUUAUCCUCGUACAGAGACCGAUGGCUUCUCUAGCAGGACUGAUUUGCAUACAAUUGUGCGAGAACAACAGGAGCAUCCGGUAUGGGGUUCAUAUGCUCAACGACUCUUAGAUCCUGGAACAGGAUUAUGGAGAAAUCCCAGCAGUGGUGGACACGAUGACAAAGCACAUCCUCCCAUUCAUCCAACAAAGUUUUCUGCUGGUGAAAUUGGAUGGAGUCAAGAUCAUCAUAGAGUGUAUGAGUUGGUUGUUCGCCAUUUUCUGGCAUGUGUUUCUCAACCAGCUGUUGGGGCUGAAACUAUUGUUGAAAUUGAUAUUGCUGGUGAACAGUUUUCUGCAUCAGGGAGGGUGAUAUUAGUUAAAAAUUACUUGGAUGUUUACCAUUUUGAAUCAUGGGGUGGUUUAAUGAUUCCAACCUAUCUUCAAGGCCAACAGUUUAUCCCAACCACUCUAACUCUUGAUUCAGGAGUUACUAGACCACCACCUCUUUUAAGUGAAGCUGACUUGCUUGGCUGUAUGGACAAGGCUGGUAUUGGUACGGAUGCAACAAUGCAUGAUCACAUAAAGAAGUUGCUUGAUCGAUUCUAUGCAACCAAGGACACAAGUACUCGUUUCUCACCAACUAAUCUUGGUAAAGCUCUAGUUAUGGGAUAUGAUGACAUGGGGUAUGAGCUUUGGAAGCCAAAUCUUAGAUCAAUGAUGGAGUUUGACAUGAAACAAGUUAGCAUGGGUUAUAAAAGUAAGGCUGAAGUUUUGGAAACUUGCUUGCAGCAGAUGAAAAGUUGUUUCUUAGAUGCAAGGGAAAAUAAAGUAAAACUCCUAGAAGCCAUGGCUGUUUUCUUUGAGAGAUCGGAUAGAAUGAGUGGAAAUGACCAUCUUGUAGCUGUGGAAAUUGUUCGGAAAUGUGGACUUUGCCAAGAAUCAAAUAUGGUGCUUAGACGAAAUCGGGAUGGCAAUUUCAUGGUUGGAUGCUUGGGGUUUCCUCAGUGUAGGAAUGCUAUAUGGCUUCCUGGACCUGUACUAGAGGCCACUGUAACCACCAACAUUUGCAACAGUUGCACACCAGGUCCUGUUUACUUGAUUCAAUUUAAGUUUCGGCAGCUUGAAAUACCACCAGGCUUCAAUGUCAACCAUUUAGGUUGCAUUGGUGGCUGUGAUGAGACUCUAAGACAGUUGAUAGAGAUAUGCGGAACUGGUUCCCGCGUACAAGCCAGAGGUCGAGCACCAAAUGCAACCCCCAGCAACCUCCAACAAAAUAACAUUAGGGAUGGUACUUGCAUUCACUGUGAACAAAUAGGACAUGCUUCAAAUAACUGCCCUUCACAGCUUUCAGAUUCUCGACAUGCUCGGUCCAAUGGAAUGAGUCAACAAACAGGGGAAUCUUCAGUUUCAUGUGGGACAUGUGGAGAACCAUGCUUUUUGCGUACAGCUAAUACAGCAAAUAACAGGGGAAGAAAGUUCUACUCAUGUCCAUCGCAAGGAUGCAACUUCUUUGUAUGGGAGGAUAGCUUGAAUAAUGGCACCAAUGGAAGAAAUGCUCCCUACAGAAAUGUUAGCAACUCGGCAUCUAAUCCUAGCAGAAGGGGUGGCCGUAGCAGAGGUGCACGGGGCGGUGGGACUUUUGUAUCAGCCACUGGUGAUCCCAUAUCUGGCAGAAGGUGUUACAUAUGCGGUGAUCGAUCUCACUUUGCAAAUGCCUGUCCAAUCUAAAAACAUGCUGUUAUGAAAGAAAAAUUGGUUCUGUACCUCCAGCGUUUCUGUCUAUUUAACUCCAUAUCAUAAAUUGGAAGGUUACAUAUUCUCUUUUUGGCAGGUUGAUGAGCCUUGAUCAAACUUCUUGUGUAGUUAGUGCAAAAUCAUGAGCCCUUUGUCGUUAUCUUAGGUUUUUCAAUGCAUAGAACUCAUUUAUUAACUUUUUUUUCUUAGCUUUCUGAUCUCUUGCUUUGUAUAAUUUUAAGAUUUGAGAGAGUUAUUUCUUUGUUAAAAGUAGGUUGAGAAGAUGGGUUAAAAA
rnacentral:misc_RNA from 1 species